GUAGCGACGACGCCUCCUCCCCUAAACAGCGAGCCCCAAUUCUCAGAUUUAAUUCUUCCCAAAGGGACACACGCCUUCCCUUACGACCUUUCGGUGACCACAGUGGCUGGGACCCUGGGAGGCAAAGAGGACUUUCCUCCCCCAGAUCCUUAGCCAUACUGAAAGAGGGAAGGAAGAAGAUGAUCUGUUAUCAUCUCCAGCCUAAGAGGUCUCUCCUCAACUCCGGCAGAGCCUGGCCCGGGGACAAGGUCUGAGCCCCAUCAGUGUCUGUGCCACCUCCAGGAGCGCCCCGGCUUCACUUCAGUUCCAGCCUGGCAGAGACCCCUCAGGAAGCCUCAGGUGAGCCCAUCCUUUCUUGAGUCUACACUGCCCCUACAAGAGGCUCAGGCUGCUGCUGCUUUGGAUUUCACAGCCCUUCUCUUUGCUUUCGCCAUCCUCUUCCCCCAGUGUGCCAUGUCACUGCCCCUUUGAUAGCAACACACCCUCAUAAUUUGCCUUUGCAUAUAUCUCAUUUGUUCUGAGUUGUAGGGCCAAAACUCAUUUUGUUGACCCAUCUUUGAGACUCAGGGAAGCUGAAUGACUUAUCUACAGUCAGUGAAAGGUCCAGGUCUUUCAGGUAAUGGGGAUUUGGGCUUCAUGCUGACUCUGCUCCUUUCUUAGGUAGGUUAUGCCUCUGAGCCUCAUUAAGGGCAAGACGGGGACACUGAUGCCUAUCUCACAGUGUUCUUCUGAGUUUUAGAAAUUGUAAGUCUCUAGUGACUGGCACAGAUGGGUGGUUAAAACAUGGGAGCUAUUAUUUAGUCUGGGGCCUUCCACUGACCUAUGCUAAAGAGUUAAGUUCCAUAAUAUUUUUGUAUUGGCCCAGUGCCCGUACUAUGUAUUAAACAUUUAUUAAAUGGGUGCAAGUUGGAUGAA